rnacentral:lncRNA from 1 species
UCAAGCCUGGCUCAUGGGUUGGGCUUGGGUUUUGAAUUUUCUAAAAAAACCCUGCCCACCCCAGCCCGAUAUUUUCUCUCUUCUCUUUAAAGCCCGGCCAGACUUGGCCCAAACCCAUUAAAUUUGAACCGAACUAGCCCAUCCCGGCCCAUUGACAAGCCCUAGUCAUAUCUAGCAAAAUCUAUUGAAAAAUAGAUGAAGAUAGGUAGAACAAACAUUGGGCAAUGCCCAUCCAAACAAAGAUAAAAAUAAAAUAAAAACACGAGUGUAAAGGGUGAAGUCUAUAAUGCAAAAGAUCUAUGGUCACAUGGUAUAGCUUCUUGAAACUUGAGCUCUAAUCAAACUCGUAAUUCACCAGAAAACUAAAGGCAGAAAAUUUCCACUAUAAUUUUUUGGUGCAUCACACAUCAAACUUUUCAAUGGAAUUAAGCUCUAAUUGAAUCAAUGAUUUACCAGAAAGCUAAUUUGAGAAGCAAACUCUCCAACUAGUUUUUUGGUACAUCAUCGACCGACUAGAGCUCACCUCCAGCUUUACCAAUCAAAGGAAGUAAUAAUUUUUGUGCAAACUCUGGUCUAUAUGCAUUAGUAUAUAUAGGGGGUCUUAGUGGAUGCAUAAAGAAUAUUGGCCAAUAUAUAAAAAUAAACAAAAAUAAAUUUCAAUAGUAAUCUACUAAUUAAGCUAACGUCAUUAAUGUUGUGUAUAUUUGGAAUGAUAAUUUUUUUUUGUUGGUAAAUAUCACGAGGUGUCCCCACACCGAAAGAGAGGAUUAAUUCCCGCUCGGGAUUCAGCUUGCCCCUAACCACAAAAUGCUUCCAACAGGUUAGGAAUGAUAAUUUUAAAUUUAAUGAAAUAAUUGUCAUUUUUAAAUGGCAAGUAAUUGUAAAAGUUGUACUGUAAAUAUGUUUCCUAAGGAGUUGAUAAAAAGGUAUAAACAUUGCAAAUUAAAAUUGCUCUGCAUGCAUUCAGUGUACAAUGUACCUAUUAUAACUUACUUUCUAUCAAGGUUUAAAAUAUCGAUGAUUUCAAAAAUAACGAUAGUUCAAAAACACGGAAAUUUCAAUAGAAAAAUCGGGAAAUUAUCGAUAUCGAUAAAAAUGAAAUAAAAAUCACGAAAAUUGUAAAAAAAAAAAAACUUGAAAAAUUUUCUUGAAACUUUCAAGGAUAUUUAUUUAGUUAAUUAUCUAUUACUUCAUCACAAAAAAUUGGAAGGAAAUGCAUUGCAUGAUAGGUUUAAUAGAUUUAAGUUGAUUAUAUAACAUUGCAUCAAAUUUGAGUUAUUUACACUAACAUCCCCUGAGGUUUUUGGCUUUUUCACAAAACUCCUUGAGGUUUUAGAAAUUACAGGAACACUCCAUGACGUUUUAAAUUGUUUUCACAGAACUCAUUUUCAUUGAUCUAAUACAAAAAUUCUCCAAAUGACAAAGUUGACAUUUGAGAUUAGAUUACAUAUACUUCAUUGAGGUUAAUUUUGUCAUUUGCAUACGUUUUUAUUUCAAAUCAUCAAUUUUGGACAAACAAUCAACAAAAAAGGGUUUUGUGAAAACAAACUGAAACCUCAGGGGGUGUUCGUGUAAUUUUUGAGACAUGAGGGGGUUUUGUGAAAACAUAAGAAACCUCAGGGGAGUGUUAGUGUAAAUAACUCUUCAAAAUUUUCACAGUCUUCAUCAUCUUGAUAUUAUCGAUAUUACAACGAUAUUAUAGCCUUAAUGUGGCCAAAUGUUGCUGAAGUGUGAAAGAAAUUAUCGAUGUCAAUAUUUUUCGAUAUUAUCGAUACUUAUACGAUAUGUGUAUGGAUAUGUUCCAAAAUAUCCUAAACCGGAAAAAACGAUCAUAUCCUCGAUAUUAUCGAUAUUUUAGUCCUUGCUUUCUAUUUAGUCAAUUUUCUUUUCUUGUACUUUCCUUAAUUUGAAAAUACUCUAGUGAUGAAUUUUCUUUCUUGUAAGAGAGUGAUUUUGUCUACCAUCUCAUCAUAUUAUAUUUUCCUUAACAGAACUUGCUACAACACCAAUAACAAACAGGUUGGUUUUGUACCAAACACGAAAAUGAAAAAUUCACGAAAAUUUAGAUUAUUGAAAUAUGAGAAGAAAAAAAAAAGUAACCUUGCAAACAUAAUAGACUUCAUUAUUGUGGUGCAAGGUUUUCUACAUGGAACUCGUGAAUAUGGCUCUAAUUGUAUUGAAGGUUGAAUAAUUAGCUAAAAGACUUGAAACCUUUUGGGCAAGGUUGAAUGGUUAGCUAAAACACAAAGGCAAACACCGAUUUUGUGCUUACGCUUAAGAUUUCUCAAAGAAUGUGGCCCUAUUAGCACCGCCAUAUUGCUAAACUUAAUAAUGUACCCUAUUCGCUCUCUUUCUCUAUGAGAACUAAAGAAAAACUCCAUAGAGGAGGAGGAGGAAGAAGUGUCAUUGUUCCUCCUCCCCCUCAUUUCUCUUUGCAUUUUUCUUUUUGGGUUAGUAAAUAUGUCAACUGGGGCGUUUUGAAUAAGAAGCCUCUUGUGGUGAUUUCUUCUGAGCCAUACUCAGAUUGAAGUUUCCCAUAACCUAUUUUGGGCUAUGUUCUCACUUCUCCCAAAACCCGCUCUUUAACGUUGCUCAUAUUAUAUAAAUUUGGUUCUACAUUGUAUUUGACGGAGUUUGCUGCAAAUCAUCCAAUUGUUCUUUGUCAAGUUCUUGUUUUGGCAUAUUUAUACGUUCUUAUGCAUAAGUAAAUCACUGGAAACCAUGCUUUCUUUAGAUCUGUUACGGAUUUUGUUCUCGCUUCAAGAUUUUAUGCUAUGGUGGGUAUGGCUGCAAUGGUGGUUCUUCAUGUGGUGGUGGUAGGUUCAUUUAGGCUCCUGGGUUGCUUUAAGGUUUUGUUUUGGGUUUGUGGGCUUUGUUUGGGAUUAUGCUUAAUUGUGGUGAUGUGGACUAAUAGUUUUAGUGCGGCUUUUGUCCCCUUUAGUUUUGUUUUUAGCAUGUUAGUUUGUUGCCUUCUUGGAAUUUGUGCUUUAGAUUCAUGUUGAUGUUGUUGAUUAUAUAGUUAAAGUUUAUCGAAUGAAGUUUCUCUUUGAUAAAAAAAAAAACCUUUAUUAUAAAAAAUGUACUCUAAUAUAAAAUUGCAUUCGAGGGCAACAUUUUUGUCAAAAAAGAAAAAACAAAGUAGAUAUUGUGGAUUUCGUGCGUAGAUCUUGUCAUGCUUAUGUGGCCAAAUCUAGGCAAAUAUGGUGGCUGGCCCAAGCAUAGGCAACAUAGCUAGGAUUUUAUAUUUUGGGGGCAAAAAUGUCAAACACAAAGUUUAGUUAUAUAUUGUUUUUUGAGCUAUUGAGUAAACUAUUAAAGAACUAGUGAAUACUUCAACUGGGGCAUAAGCCUAUGCCCCCCACAGUUAUCAAAGUUGUAUUCCAAUAUGAAUCUACAUUUAUGAAGAAAAAAAACUAUUCAUUUUAGUUUAAUACUCUUGUAGAUACGGACAUUCUUCAAUAAAUAUUUUAUGUUAAGAAUUAGUUAUAUACUUCUAAUCUUGAUCGUUGGAUUGUAUUCAUUAAAUAUGUUGGUAAUAUCUUAGAUGUAAUUCAAUGGCCGAAAUUAGAAAUAUGUAACCAAUCCUUAACUUAAAUACUUAUUGAAGAAUGUUUCUAUCUACAAGAUUACUAAAUUGAAAUGAGUGGUUUUCUUUCAUAAAUGUAGUAUGAUUUUACUACUAUAUUUAUAUUGGAAUACAACUUUAAUAAGGGUGGGGGCCAUAGGCUUACGUAUAUCAAUUUUUCUUUUUAGUUGUUACCACACCCAAUAUAUACAUUGAAAGGGAUUAAAUAAAUAGUAAAUUGAGCUUAGACCUAUAAAAUUCAUUUUAAAUCACCUAAAACCCUUUCCUUUAGUUUUCUAUUUAAAAUAUCCAAUUUUUUCAAAUAAUACCCGAUGACUAGGAUCCAACUAAACAAGUUACCUAAUAUAACUUAAAAUCUGAUUUAUUGUAUUUUUCGGAUUCCAAAACUACCCCUAUUUAUGAGUUAAUGUGUUAUUAGAGGUGUAACUAAUGACACACGUUGAAUUUGGAAAGAUCUCCAAAAGGUUGUAAUGGAUGUAGGAAUUAAUUUAGAAACUUAUUUGAAAUUAAAUAUUAAAUUAAAUAUUAACGUAUUAGUAAUCUAUUUUACGACUAUUAAUCUACUUUUGAAUUAAUGUUGUUUUCCUUUUAUGAAUUACAGCUAGUAAACUAUUUAACGUAUUAGUAAUUUAAAUUCAAUAUUAAAUUUAGGAAUUAAUGUUGUUUUUCUUUUAUGAAUUAUACGACUAGUAAUCUAUUUUAUUAUAAUUUUAUGAAUAAUAGUGUACAUUUUAAUUAAGUUGAAAAAUAAUUUGAUAAUCUAUUUAUUAUUAUUUUUAAAUUUUUUUUUUUUAAAAUGAACCUAUUUUUUCUCUAAAUAAUGUACCUUUUUUUCUCUAAUAAAGCACCUAUUACUUUUUUUUUUGAAAAAUAAUUUGAUCAUCUUUUUAUUGUUUGUUUUAUGAAUUUUUUUUUUUAAAAUGAACCUAUUUUUUCUCUCCAAAUAAUGUACCUAUUUUUUUCUCCAAUAAUGUACCUAUGUUGAAAAAUAAUUUUAUAAUCUAUUUAUUUAUUUAUUUAAAUGAACCUAUUUUUUCUCUAAAUAAUGUACCUUUUUUUUCUCUCUAAAUAAAGCACCUAUUACUUGUUUUGUGAAAAAUAAUUUGAUCAUCUUUUCAUUGUUUGUUUUAUGAAAACAAUUUUUUUUUUUAAAUGAACCUAUUUUUUCUCUCCAAAUAAUGUACCUAUUUUUUUCUCUAAUAAUGUACCUAGUAAAACAAUUUACCUAUAGUAUAAUGAACCUAUAUUUUUUUUUUCUAAAUUUUGUAUCUAUUUUUUUCUCUAAAUAAUAUACCUAGUAAAACAAUUUACCUAGUAUAAUGAAUCUAUUUUUUUCUUCUAAAUUUUGUAUCUAUUUUUUUCUCUAAAUAAUGUACCUAUUUUUAAUUUAUAAAAAAAAAUGUGCAUAAAUUUCAAUUAUACAACGCACCUAUUUUCUAUAAAUUAUUAUGUACCUAUUUUUAAUUUAUGAAAAAUGUAUUACAAAGUAAUUGACCUAUAUUUUUAUACGUAUAUAUUUAUAUUUAUAUUUUUCAUAUGUACAUUAUUGGAUAUGUAAUUUACAUAUAUAUUUUUUUUUGGUUUGCAAUUUUAGGGGGCAAUAUGUUGGAGGGAAUGACAACCAAAAGAAAUAGGGUGAUUGAUAUUAUAUUAAUAGGGAGUUUUAAUUACAAUUAUGACAGUUAAUGAAAUGCUUGGAAUAAAUUAUAAAUAAAAUAUGAAGUUUGAUGGCAAGGAUGUAAAAACAUAGGAAUACUAUGACCUCUUAUAUCCUACUGGUCAUUUAAGUUUGAAAUUGAGUUUUACACAUAGAUUUAUUGAAUGAUGGGUAUAUGUCUAGGAAAUAGAAAUUGUAGGGGCCUAUAUUGGACAAGCCCUUAAAUAAAUUGGGGGGCUAAGAGCAUCUCCAGGAUAGUCUCUAAAUUUUAGCCAAAUUUUAGCUGAAAUGGUUAGAAAGCUAUUAUAGCAAACUACUAAAAAUGAUCUCUAUUUUGGCUAAUCUAUAAUAUUUUAUUAUUUCUCUCUCUUACUCUCUAAAUUAAAAGUUUAUUAAAAAAUCAAAAAGUAAGAGGUGAGAGAGGGUUGUAGGCCUAGGGAGAGAGAAGAGGAAGAAAUGGAAAACCCUCAAUUUCUCUCUCCUCCUCUCUAAAUGUAAAGAGCCACCAAACUCAAAUAGGGAGUUCUCCAAAAUAGAGAGCCAGAUAGCAAGUCUGCUGGAGUUGCAUUUUGCCCUAAUUCUAGUCAAAAUGGCUUUGCUUGAGAUUCUCUAAGGCCUUAGCAUAGCUUUGCGCCUAUGCCCAAGGAUGGGGUGGGGUAUAAGUUGUGUCCUCCAUGGCUAAUUGGUAUAUCCAAAACAAUUAGUGCAGAUAUAGGGAACAACAUAAGUUUAGCAAGACAUGGGUAUAUCUAGUCGUACUCGAGCAGAUCUAGCUAGCUACACCUGAAUAGCUCUGGACGAAACUGUGGGAACCGAAUUAAAUAUGAACCCUAGGUCAAGUAAUUCCUCCCAUUUCGGGAUUAUUUGACCUAAUUGAAAAUUAUUCAACCUAAUUGGGAAUUACUCAAUUUAAUUAGAGAUUACCCAAUUAAAUUGAGUGUUACCUAAUUAGGUCGAGAAUUGAUUUGAUUCCUACCACAAUUCUCAAUUAUUGGGAGUUACUUGAAUUAAUUGGGAGGUUAUUUGAUUCAGAUUGGGUGUAUUUGACUUAAUUAAGGGUUUGAUUAAUCAAAUCCGUAAAUACACCAACCUCACCAACCUCACUAACCUCGUCGAGGCCUCCUAUAAAUACUUGGCUACGCACAAGGAUUGAGGUACGUCAGAACUACUACUAAAAACUCUGUAGAGAUCUUCCCCUCACAGACCUUAGCCACCUCUUCUCUCUCUCUCUCUCUCUCUCUCUCUCUCUCUCUCUCUCUCUCUUUUACAUAAGGCUCUAACCGCCCGUUUUAUACUAUAAACACAUCUCCGUACCCUAUUAGCUAUUGUUUUCUAUACGAUUCAAUUGAACUAAUUUAGGCAUCGGAGGGCCUUUGGCCAACACCCCCCGGGUGUGGUCCUCUUAUUUGUUCUAUUUUGCAGGGAGAAAAAGGCGGCGAGGAAGAAAGGGGAAUCUUUCCAAUUGAAUAUUCUCGUUGGGAAAUUUGCUCCCACAAAAACUGUACAGAUCUAGCUAGAGUUGUGGAGAUCUAGCUAAAUCGGUGCAGACUUAUAUAGAUCAAGAGAAAUUUAUCCAAAUGUAGAUGAGUAUGGGAAUAUUUAACUUAAUAUGACCAUGAUGACAAAUGCUAAAUAGUCUGCAUAUGUAGUUACAUGUCGACAAAUCUAGCUGGACUUGACCAGAUCUGGCCAUAUCUAAGCCAAAUCUAGCCAGAUCUAGACACAUAUACCAGACAUACAUAGUUGAAUUAGUAAAAUUCUAACCAAAUUGGAGAAAGUCUAGGCGAACCUAGAAAUAACUAGCCAAACAUAGCCAAUCCGGCCAGAAUUGGGCAGAUCUUGUCAUAUCUAGCUAUAGUUGAUAGUCAGAUCUGUGUAGAAAUAGAGGAAGAUGGGUAGAACAAAUAUUUGGAAAUGCCUAUCAAGCCAAAAAAUAAAAUAAAAUAGAAACAAGAGGGUAAAUGGUGAAGUCUGCAAUGCAAAAUAUAUGUGGUCAUGGUGUAGCUUCUUGAAAACCUGAAAUCUAAUCGAAUUAGAGAUUCACCUGAAAACUAAAGUUGGUAAAUGUGCACUAUAAUUUUCUGAUGCAUCACUAAUCGACUAGAAUUCAUCUUCAGUUCUAGCUAUUUUGGUCGUCAACAUCAAUUUUUUCAGUGGAUUCAAGCUUAAAUCGUAUAGAUGAUUUACCAGAAAACUAAGAUGAGAAACUAAUAACUCUAACUAGUUUUUUGGUGCAUCAUCGACUGACUAGAGCCCACGUCUAGCUUUACCAAUUUGGUGAAAAGCAAUAUCCUUCACGCAAACUCUGCCCUAUAUGCACUAGUAUAUAUAGGGUGUGUUAGUGGCUCAUUUGUGAAUAUUGGCCAAUAUAUAAAAUAGAAACGUUAAUGGUAAGCUUCUGCUUCAGCUAAUGUCAUUAAUGCUAUGUAUAUUUGGAAGAGUGCUGCUAUUUUUAUCUUAAUUUUAUUUUUUUAUUCAUCUUAUCGUUCCACCUACUAUGUAAAUUCGAAAAACAGAAUCCUAUUUUUUUACCCACCGUUAUUCCUAAAAUACCCUUUAAUUAUUAAUUUAAGCAAAUUCUCUUUUCUAAUCAAUAGUAGUUGAUAUAUGGAGAGGAUCACGGACUGGAUAAAAGUUUUGAUCUAAUAUUUUAAUUUUUGGAUCGUUUAGGUUUUUUUUUUCUCUACUUAUAGCUUUUGAAAAUAUUGUGGAUAAAUGUUUUAAAGAGAAAGGUGUCAUUUAAAGGGCAAUUUUCUAUUGUGUUCCAUUUGGGCGUAAAAAGAGAAAGGUGAAAGGAAUAGAAACAACACCUUGUAGACCCAAAAAAAGAAUGAAAAUAAUUGAACUACUGAACAUGGAAUAAAAUCAAACAAUGGACUGAAAAAUGAAGCACAUAUAUAAAACCACUUCUUUUUUUCUUUUUCUAUUUGUCAAACGGUAGAAUAGGUGGGUCACGUGAGUUGAGGUUUUUUCCCUAAGUCCUUAGAAGUCAUUUUACAAAGGAAAAAAUUUGUCUUUAAAAUGUUGAAGAUAAGGUGGUUGAAGAAAAAAGACAUUGGGUGAAAAUAGCAACACUCAUUUGGAAUCCCAAUUUUAUCGUUUUUUCGGGACUAGGAUAUUUUGAGACAUAUUCAUACACAUAUCGUAUAAUUAUUGAGAAUAUCAACGAUUAUAUCGGGAAAAUAUUGAUGUCGACAAUUUCUCACACGCUUCAACAAAAUUUGGGAAAAAUAUCACGAUAUAUGCAUGCAAUGGAAAAAAGAAAAAAAGAACCCGUAGCACACACGCAAAGGGGGAUUCAAAUCCUUGCCAUUCCACUCCUCCAACGCCUUAAUCACCAUGUUGCUAAUGUUUAAAAAUAAAGUAAUUGUAAAUGUUGUUCUAGAAAUAUGUUAACAAAAAAUUGAUGAAAAUAUUGUCACAAUAGGAAGUUUGACAGAAAUAAAUUGUUUGUCUUCGAAUUCUUAGAUUAAUCACAAGAAUAGAUAAUAUAAAAAGAGUGCUGCUAAACGAACCCUAAAAUUAACUGAGUAUGCCCUACUACCAAAUUAUUUAUUGAAUUACUCAUUUACUCCAAUAUAAAAUGACCAAAAAGGAUAUCUAAUUUUCUUCUUCUUCUUCAAAAAUUUGAGAGUCCACAAAAUCCUCAAAACCCCAUUUUUAUUUAUUUUAUCCCAUUGCCUUUCUUUUUUACUCUGAACUUAUAGAAAUCAUUUUAUUCUCAAUCCUAUUAUAAUUUAUAAGCAAGUCAGCUAAAACCCCUAUUAUUUUUUCUAUAAUUUUCAAUUGAGAGAGUAAAAUAGAGGUGUUAGCUGGAUUUGAAAUGAAAAGAAGAAAAUAUGGAAGAGAAAAGAAUACACGAUAUUUGCAGUUCCUUUUGGUUAUGUUUGUUAGGGCAAUAAUUUGCAAUGAGAAACACUUCAAAUAAUAAUAAGAAUAAUAAAAACAACUAGGCCUCCUCCAACACCUACACCGAUUAUAAGGAAUUCUACCCUAAACAAAAUGCUCCAUAACCUCAAUCCCACGCGUUCAUCUCCUCCCACCUAUCUCACUCACAGCUUGCUGCCGUCAUGGAAGUAUAUGCGGGAUGGAUUAUUAAUUACGUUGUGAACCAGUCAGAUUGGUGAUCAUUUGAUUGGAAAUAGAAGGGUUUUUUUUUUCUUUUUCUGGCUAAAAUUGGCAUCGUUGAGUGUUAUACUUGGGAUUCCUUGAUUCGAUUUCUGAAGAAGAAGAUAACUAUCGAUGUAGCUUUUGUCCGUUUGGCAAAAAUGUAUUUUUAUUUUUGAUUCACUACCAUAUAUGGCGUGACAGUUGUUUUCAUCAUUGGAUUGUAUUAUAUUUUAUGUGGCAGCUUUAUAUUAAAAGUCAAGCAGACAAAAUCCAAGGAGAUGAUUCAGAUCCAUUAAGGUGUUGUGUGAUAGAGUGUAUUAGGGUGUACUAGGGGUAUUUUUGGUAGUUAAAUAGGGUGUACUUAGUUAAUUUUAUAUUUUGAUUAAAAUAUUAAGGUGUACUUAGAUCAUAUGGUGUACUCAGUUAAUUUCAGGGUUCGUUUAGCAGCACUCUAUAAAAAUCAUCUAAUUAACAUGGUUGCUCAUCGAUUAUUCAAUAGUCAACAAAACACCCAUCUUAAUGAAAUUUCUUUAUUUUUUUUAAACUUAAGUGGUUAAGAGCACUGAUUCUUGCAUCCUCGAUCCUACCCCCUGCAUCUUAAGUAGUUAAAAUUAUUUAUAAUUUUGUAAAGAAAAAAGUUUGUCUCCUUAACUGGGGAGGAGCUCCUUCUUCCCUAAGAGCAUCCACAGUGGAGGGGUGUAUAAUGGGGUAUAUGUUAAAUAUACACCCUUUGUCGCCGGAAUCAUCUCCAAUGGGAAGAUGUAAAUUGUUGGAAAAAUACAUCACAACCAUGGAGAUGUAAAAUUAGAUGCACAUUUGCAUAUUUUUUUUACAUCCUUUGCAAGCGGGACCCACAAAAGAAAAAGGGAAAGAGAAGGAUUGGAAUUCAAAAUGGAAGGCCCAGAUUUCAUGCAAUUUGCAUUGCACUUCCAAUGGCCCAGAUUUCUACAUAGAUAUUUUUAUGUUAAUUUGUAGGUAAAAUAAUACGUUCUCCAAAUUAAAAUUUUUUUGGGUCCAUUUAGUUGGAAAAAUAAAAAUAAUCUAACACACAUAAAAAUAAUUUAAAAAAGUUAAAACACAAAAAAAAAAAAACACAAAAAAGAAUUAUCACAAACAAAUCGAAUAUGCAUCUUUGGAUUUACAUCGUUUUUCAUUGGAGCAAAAAACGUAUUUACACCCCCUGGAGGUGUAAAAAGGAUGUAAAAGUGGCUUUACACCCCAAAAAAUACACCCCCCCACUGUGGAUGCUCUAAAGGUAAAGACCCGUCCCAUGUGGGUGGCAGAAAUGUUCAAAAUGAAUGCUUCACAAACCUUAAUCUAGUCUUUAGUCUAACUCAAGUGGGUGGAAUAAUGUUGAUUGAGUCUAAGUAAAAAUCAGGUCAAUCUCUAUGUACCAUAAAAAUGUAAUUAGCUACCUUGUUUUCUUUUGGUAAAUAAAUUUUUAUUCCUCACAGUCCUAGAACCACAUCUGAAAUCAAAUGGAUUCGUUUGGAAUAAAAUUUAUUCAGCACUAGAAAUUUCAUCAUCCUUCUUUUUCUAUUAAUCAAAAUAUUCUACAAAUCACGGAAAGGGGGCGAGUUAAGUAAAUAAAUUAUAUAUGCAAUUUAUGUACACAAAAACUGUAUGUUCUCUUGUAAGACAGUCUAAAGUUUGUUUAGAUGGACAUAUUCAUCCGAAAAACCCUAGCCACACUCUCUCUUCUUCUCUAAGUCCCAAAAAAAAACUCAAUAGAGAAUAAAUGGGAGGAGGAGAAAGAAGCGUCAUUGUCCUUCCUUCCCUCUCAUCCUCCUCUUCCGUUGUCUUUUGGGUAAGUGAAUAAUUCAUUUGAGCGAUUUGAAUAACAAGCCCAUUAUGCUAAUUUCUUCUGAGCCAUUCCAUCUCUCAAAGCCCUCUCUCUAACACUUCUUAUCGUAUUCUGAGGAGUUUGCUUAAUCUGCCCAAUUGUUUUUUGCCAUGAUUGUUGGAUUGGCAUAUGUGUUCAAUGUUAUACGAAGAUAGAUCGUUGGAAACUAUGUUUUUCCCAUAUUUGUUGCAGGUUUUGAAAAAAAUCUCCAAACGAGGAAAACUGCACCAUCUCAGUUUUUCUUGGUGAUUGUACUUGGUUUUUUCCAGUAUCAAUGAAGGCUAUUUUUCCUAAUUAAAAAAAAAGGGUUAAUUUGGAAUCAAGUGGAUUUUGGACUAUAAAUUUUACCAUCCUUUUUAAACUAUAUGAAUUUGUAAGGCUCAGAUAUGAAUUUGAAAUCUAUACCACAUACAAAGUAUGUAAUUAUUAUAUAUUGAGAAUUUGAAAUUAUUUAUAUAUAGUAAUUACAACAAUAAUGACAUGAAAAAUCGAAAGUUUAUUAAGGAGGGUGUAUUCAAUUGAGAUUUUAAUGGAUUGUUUUGAAGCUUAAAAGUAAAGUGGUAUUCAAUUAUGAUUUUAAGUAAUCAAUAAAAGUUUGAUGGUACUCAAUUAGGAUUUUUAAAUAAUCAAUGCAAGUCUGGUUGUAUUCAAUUAGGAUUUUCAAAAGAUAAGAAAAGUACCAUGGUAUUCAAAACUUACUGAUUUUAAUGUAUUUUAUUAAAUAAUGUAUUGCUGAGACUUUUGAGUGUGUGACAUAAAUACCAAAUCAAAUAACAAAUCUCAGCCUCCUAUGCCUGAUUCUCAUAUAUCUUUCUUCCCCCCAUUAUUUUUUUUAUGCUUUCUGUUGUGCAAAAAGAUUAUUAAAAAAAAAUCAUAAGAGAUACGAUGGCAAGAAGAUAGGAGGGGAGAAUGUGGGUGAUCGGUUGAGAAAUGUAUAGUAUAAUUUAGUUUUCACUGCUAUUACCAGCCACCGUAUAAUAUACUUUCUUCAAAGAUAUUUUUGCACGGUAGCAGCUUCAAAAGGAGUUGAACUUGAACAAAAAAGAUUAACCUCUUCUUCAAGAUUCCAUUGCACGGUGGCUAGGGAUUUUGCAAGGUCAGCAUUUGCAGCCUCCAGUUUAGCCAAACGUACAAAGACUUCCAUUCUAGUAUUAUCAUGUUUCUGCUUCUCUAAAAAAUAAGCAGCUUCCAUGGUUUCCAUAAUGGUAUAAUUCAACAAUUCCUCCUUUUGUACCAGAAAUAGUAAUCAAUAUUUCUGCAUAUGAAUUUUUUGAAAGGAUCUCCAACUGGAAUCCUAAGAAAAACAUUUAUCUACAAACAGAGUAAAUCCAGGGAAAGCAUUAAAGUAGAUCUAUGGAGAAAAGAUUACCAUGGAUGUUUAUGGUCCGAUUUCUAGUAGUGUCUAGACAUGUAUAGUUGAAACUGGACAUACAUAACAGUAUGUGUGAAAUUAUAACCAAAUAUGGGAAAGUCUAGCGGAACCUAGACAAAACUAGCCAAACAUAUGCAAAUUCAGCCACAGACUUGGGCAGACCAACCCAAAUUUGGCUAGAUCUAGUCAUAUCUAGCAAAAUCUGUUGAAAAAUAGAUGAAGAUAGGCACAACAAACAUUGGGCAAUGCCCAUCCAAACAAAGAUAAAAAUAAAAUAAAAACACGAGGGUAAAGGGUGAAGUCUGUAAUGCAAAAGAUCUGUUGUCAUGGUGCAGCUUCUUGAAACUUGAGCUCUAAUCAAACUCGUGAUUCACCAGAAAACUUCCACAUCACGUAUCGACCAUAAUUCAUCUUCAGCAAUAAGUAAUGCUGACAUCAACAUCAAACUUUUCAAUGGAAUUAAGCUCUAAUCGGAUCAAUGAUUUACCAGAAAGCUAAUUUGAGAAGCAAACUCUCCAACUAGUUUUUUGGUACAUCAUGGACCGACUAGAGCUCACCUCCAGCUUUACCAAUCAAAGGAAGUAAUAAUUUUUGUGCAAACUCUGGUCUAUAUGCAUUAGUAUAUAUAGGGGGUCUUAGUGGAUACUUAAAGAAUAUUGGCCAAUAUAUAAAAAUAAACAAAAAUAAAUUUUAAUAGUAAUCUAAACUAAUUAAGCUAACGUCAUUAAUGUUGUG